UACGGGGGGGGCAAGCGUUGUUCGGAAUUACUGGGCGUAAAGGGCUCGUAGGCGGCCAACUAAGUCAGACGUGAAAUCCCUCGGCUUAACCGGGGAACUGCGUCUGAUACUGGAUGGCUUGAGAUUGGGAGAGGGAUGCGGAAUUCCAGGUGUAGCGGUGAAAUGCGUAGAUAUCGGGAGGAACAUCAGUGGCGAAGGCGGCUACCUGGCCCAAUACUGACACUCAGGUGCGACAGCGUGGGGAGCAAACAGG
rnacentral:rRNA from 1 species